rnacentral:lncRNA from 1 species
CCUGGUCCCACCGCCUCGCAGCAGAAGCUGCGUUUGCUCCUCAUUUAUGCACCGGGUAAGGAUGGCUGCACAUGAGAUCUUCCAGACUGCAAAAAUCUCUGCAUGUUAUCCCUCAGGUACUAAGCUGAGAUGAUUUGUAUACAAAAUUUACGGGCUAGGCUCUGCCAUUUUCAUUCAUUACGUCUCAAAAUGAAUAAGAAGGCCACAAUGUAUUCUGUUAUAUGCUCUAUCAUGUUAUAGUUUUCACAAGCGUUAUCUCUGGCUACGUAUGCGUCCUGUGUGCAAAGAAAGAAAGAACUGAGAGUGGCUGACGUAUGAAAUAUCACUGCAUGGGUGAAGCCAAACCUGCAAGAAACAGACACUUCUUCUAUAAUUGGCCUCAGAGAAAAGACAGCCGGUCAUCUUGGAAUGGAUCAGACUUGGACUCACUUCUAGCCUGGAUAAGGGCCACAGGUACACCCAGCAAAGCGUUACCUCUCACCUGCAAGGAAGAACUGAGUCUCUGUGAAGAGGUCCUUCUGCAUUUUCUUGGGAAUCAGAGACCUCUGUCAUUCACAAAUGAAGGAAAUACAGAACAAGUGUCUUUUUGAAGAGGACACUGAAAAUUUGCAAUGUCGAUAUGUCUACAUAAAUUACUUCUUCGUGGACUAUUGACUGUGAGUUCAUGUGGCACCGCACAAUAAUUAUUUUGCCUUUUUUGUCUUCUUAACCUGCAUUCAAAACACGUCAGCCACAGUGCUCACUGCUAACAGACUAGGAGCCCUUUUGCAUUUAUUUCGAUUUGUAGAGAUGCAGAAAUAUGAGUAAUAAUGAAGAAAAUAUGUGAUGCCCAUAAUAUAUUACAGCCUAGUCUGAAAAAUUCAGCUACAACGCUAAGAUCCACGCAUGCUAUAAAUGAUUACACAGGAGUCUUUCUAAUAACUGCCGUGAUGCAAAACAAUCUUGCCUGCAGAUGAUAAUAGCUGCUCUUUGGAAGCAGCUGGGAGGGCUCUCAGACAGCACGCUGAGACACAU